rnacentral:misc_RNA from 1 species
AAGUCGUAACAAGGUCUCCGUAGGUGAACCUGCGGAGGGAUCAUUACUGAGCGAGGGCCUCUGGUCCGACCUCCAACCCUUUGUAAUACAGACCGCGUUGCCUCGAGGGCGACCCGGACGCUCCGGCGUCGGGCCCCUCGGUGGACCCCAUUCAAACACUGCAUCUUUGCGUCGGUUUUACAAGUUUAAAUUAUUAAAA